rnacentral:rRNA from 1 species
AACGAACGCUGGCGGCAUGCCUAACACAUGCAAGUCGAACGAACCCUCCGGGUCUAUUCUCGCAUGGUUUCGUAACGCGAGGGAACCUUCCCUCAUGUACGGCCUACCUCUCAGACUGGGGUGCCAAUACCGGAUCGUGUCUUCUGCCCAAAGAUUUAUCGCCUUUGGUUGGUCCCGCGUGGGAUUAGCUCGUUGGUAGGGUAAAAGCAUACUAAGGCGACGAUUCGUAGCUGGUCUGAGAGGAUGAUCAGCCACACUGGGACUGAGACACGGCCCAGACUCCUACGGGAGGCAGCAGUGGGGAAUAUUGGACAAUGGGCGAAAGCCUGAUCCAGCAAUGCCGCGUGAGUGAUGAAGGCCUUAGGGUUGUAAAGCUCUUUUACCCGGGAUGAUAAUGACAGUACCGGGAGAAUAAGCUCCGGCUAACUCCGUG